rnacentral:rRNA from 1 species
UGGGGAAUAUUGGACAAUGGGGGCAACCCUGAUCCAGCCAUGCCGCGUGAGUGAUGAAGGCCCUAGGGUUGUAAAGCUCUUUUGUGCGGGAAGAUAAUGACGGUACCGCAAGAAUAAGCCCCGGCUAACUUCGUGCCAGCAGCCGCGGUAAUACGAAGGGGGCUAGCGUUGCUCGGAAUCACUGGGCGUAAAGGGUGCGUAGGCGGGUUUCUAAGUCAGAGGUGAAAGCCUGGAGCUCAACUCCAGAACUGCCUUUGAUACUGGAAGUCUUGAGUAUGGCAGAGGUGAGUGGAACUGCGAGUGUAGAGGUGAAAUUCGUAGAUAUUCGCAAGAACACCAGUGGCGAAGGCGGCUCACUGGGCCAUUACUGACGCUGAGGCACGAAAGCGUGGGGAGCAAAACAGGAUUAGAUACCCUGGUAGUCCACGCCGUAAACGAUGAAUGCCAGCCGUUAGUGGGUUUUACUCACUAGUGGCGCAGCUAACGCUUUAAGCAUUCCGCCUGGGGAGUACGGUCGCAAGAUUAAAACUUAAAGGAAUUGACGGGGUCAUAGCUGUUUCCU